GACCUGUCUCGGUCGAGCAUCAGCCGAGAAGGAGCAGGUGAGCGGGCAUCAGCCGAGCGGAGCGAGCAGGAGCCGGAGGACCUCGCCAUCCACAACCUCCCCUCCUCCCUUCCUCCAUCGGCGUCGGUGAGGGGUGCUUGUCGCUUGCGGACUGUGCACGCCACCGCAAGCCGGGACUGUGGGCGCCACCGCAAGCAGUCUCUGCUGUGCGUGGAGGACAACCUUGCCGGCGAGCGAGGAGGAACGCGAGGACUCAGACGCACCGCCACGUCUGGUGUUGGGGAUGCAGAGCGUUACCAGGGAGCUGGCGAGGUGCUGCAAAGUGAGCAGCAAGGGAGCUGAUGCCGAGCUCGACUGCUACAGCUGCUCCGGCGUGCUGCGUGGGUGACAGGAAUGGUGGGAGGAAAAGGAGACAUGAGAGAUAGAAGAGAGUAGAAAUUGAGUACGUCUUCUUGCAUGAGAAGGAGCGUACAUGAGUAAGCUUCUAGACCGUGCAUCAACUGGAUAAGAACAGGAGCAUUCCAAGGAUUUGGUCGACCUAAGGAUAAGAGAAAAUGUGUGGCAGGGAGGGGAUAAGGAGAAAAGGCUAGGGGAUAAAGGCCAUCGGCCAGCACAUGGAGAAAGGUGAUUUUUCCUUCAGAUAUUUGGAACCUCUGAACGGCUACACUUCACUGAAACACAGUUUCAAUCUUCUGAAUCCACUGAAUCAGCCACACUACCCAUUGCCCAGCUCUCUGUUUGAUCCCCUUUUAUGUCACAAAUUCUCUUAGCAACAGGCCCAUCUCCCUUAACUAAAUUUACUCCCUAAGCAUAGUUCUUUCACUUUGGUAUAACGCCCAUAGGUUGGAAAUACUCAAAGAAAAAGUUGUGAUGCGCUAAAGUAGAGUAUAAAUACUGAAAAGUCCAAAUUCAGCUAACUGGACACCACAGUUUAAGUCUGACAGAGGAAUUUGCAAUAGGUUGUUCUCCAAGUUCUAUACAGUAGCAAGCCAACUCAUUGCACAAACCUUGAUUAUCUAUAUUAGGUCAAUCAUUUUGCUACAUACUCUUAACCCAAAUAUCUUUGGAUUAAUUACCACAGAGCUCCAAAGGUGGGUAAAAACACACAGAUUCAGACUUAGAUGUUUUACUGUUUGAAAAUCCCCAACACCUGACAACUGAUCUUUAGGCAAACAUUACUCUACAGGGUGUG